rnacentral:rRNA from 1 species
UACGAAGGGGGCUAGCGUUGCUCGGAAUCACUGGGCGUAAAGGGCGCGUAGGCGGACUCUUAAGUCGGGGGUGAAAGCCCAGGGCUCAACCCUGGAAUUGCCUUCGAUACUGAGAGUCUUGAGUUCGGAAGAGGUUGGUGGAACUGCGAGUGUAGAGGUGAAAUUCGUAGAUAUUCGCAAAGAACACCCAGUGGGCGAAAGGGCGGCCC